AGGCUUGACGGUGCUUAUGCUUAGAC
rnacentral:piRNA from 1 species